CUCUUCGUCGAACCGAAAGCACCACCAGCGACAAAGAGAGAGCGCAACGAGCAGUGGAGGAGCCACCACCACCGCCAUGAGCUACGAAGCACAGCCACCGAGGUCAAUGCACGCUCGCCAUUGGCCGCUCAAUGCCGUGGUUGGGCUUCGUCGCCUCUUCAUCACCGGUCAAGAACAAGUACCGCCAAGAUGAGGAGCAUGAAGGAUGCUACGAUGAGUUCGGGAGGUCUAGUCCGAUGUCUCCCAAUCAACUAUGGUUGCAGAGGAUCAUUGUUGUCAUAUAAUGUAUAUUUAUGUAGCUGUUUUGUACAAAACUUCUAUUAUAUAAUAAAGAUGUAACAUUGAUUUAUGUACCAUGAGUAGUCAUAUGUGUGAGACUUGAACCUAACACAAAUUUAAGACA